rnacentral:lncRNA from 1 species
AUGCCAUUCUCCUGCCUCAGCCUCCAGAGUAGCUGGGACUACAGGCACCUACCACCACGCCCAGCUAAUUUUUUAUUUUUUAAAUUUUUAGUGGAGACACAAUUUCACCACGUUGGCCAGAUUGGUCUUGAACAUCCUGACCUCAGGAGAUCCACCUGCCUUGGCCUCCCAAAAUGCUGGGAUUACAGGCACGAGCCACAGCACCUGGCCUUUUUCUUAUUUAAUUCUGUUCUUUCUUUUCUCCCUCCCUCUGUCUUUACCUCCCUAUCUUCCUCCUUUUCUUGCUUUUCACAAAUCUGUAUUAUUACGUGUGAUGAGAAAAUACAACCAAGAAAAAUCUAAAUACUAAAAAUAGUAAAAUAAUGAAAUAGGCAAGGCGUACUUCCCAGGGAGUUGGGGAGUUAGGCUCUGCUCCUCAUUCUGUCACCAUCACCAUCAACAUGCCUCACUCCAAGAAGUCUCUGAAUCAGGUAACAAGAAGCAAUGCUAACCAGAUGGCUGGCAUGUCAGACCUUACACUGAACUCCUCACGGGCAGACCGGCUCAAUGGGUACUAUCAUUGCUGUUACACUGAUAAGGAAUCCAGGGCCUAGAGAAUUAAGAAAUUUGCCCAAGAGUGCCCAGCUACCCAGGGGAUGAUUCCCAGCCAGGCCUGUCUGACUCAGAGGCUGAGGUUUAAAGUUCCUCAACACUCACAUUGCAGGCCCCAGCCAGCAGCUGCAGCAGCCUCCAGGAGCUUGCUAGUAAAUGCAGAAUCUCAGCCCCCCGUCUAACCCUACCAAGCCAGAAUCUUCACUGUGAUGAAAUCCCCCAGGUGAUUUGUGCCCAGGGAGCCCUCGUGUGAACAUGGCUCAUGGAGCCUGCCUCUCAGGCUGCUUCCCCCCACUCAUCGUCGCCUUUCCUCACUGCCUCCCUUCUCUCCGUCUGACCCCGAUGCCACCUCUCUGGGGUCUCACCCUCCAGAUCUCAGCAGGAGAAGUGAGCAGAGGGGAAUGCAAACCACUCCCUUUAGUGACUACUCAGCAUCUUCGAGACAAAGGUUUGAAGAAAAACAGAUGUUUGAAUCUGUAGAUGAGAUGCAGGGAUUAUCUAUGGAGUGUCUGUAUCCAUGUUAUCCCUUUCCAAAUAGUGGACUGUAAAUAGGAUAUUUUCGUGAUUUAAAGAAAAAUAAAUAUUGCAGGCUUCGUAACCAGAGGCCUCUCUGAUAUGCUUAAAUGCGGUCAGGAUGCCCUGAUUUAAGGGUCUAGCGAUAGAACAGCAAAGGUAAAUUCUCCUGGCCCGUGGGUGUUUAUAUAUGAUGAUGGAAUGCAAACAAGCGUUGCUUGGCUCUGAAAGUGGAACCAGAGAAAACUUCAUCUAGGUAUUUAAUUAUACAGGGCAGACUGGAAAUGAUCUUUUGUUUCCUCGCUGGCCCAUGGCUGAAACCCAUAGGUCACUCCAAAUCAAAAAACAUUAAAAUGUAUAAGAAGGAACUGGAACACAACAUUUAGCAGAAGUUUUAAGCAUUUCUGGUUGUGUUUUUAUCACUAAGGCUGUUUGCACUGUAAUUGCAGCUAUAGCCACGUAUGGAGACAAAUAACCUGGUUGGCGCGCCCAUGCACACACACACACACACACACACACACACACACACGUUCCUUAGGGUGUACAUGAGAAAACAAAAUGAUCAAAUAUGGUAAUUUGGCAUUUAAUUCCACCUAGGUAAAAGAAGCGUUGGAAAUGAAUGUUUUUCUCCUGACACAUGUAUAGAUCGGUUGCACCACCAGAUACAGUCAAGGUACCAGGCUGUAGCUCUUGCUUUUGCCAGUUUCUUAUGAAAUAUCAGGGCUUUUUUCACUAGUGUUAGAACCGAGGCAGAGAACUAGAAAGAUAAAUGAUUUAAUUCGGCCUGUCAGAUUCUGUUUGCUUGGAAGCAAGGAUUCACGAGGAGAAAAGCACAUUAAUUGAGGUCUUAAGGUGGUAGUAGAACACAUUUUCUUUAUUACUGCUUUCUGUGUAGGGGGAUUUUUUUCGUCUUCUUCUUCUUUUUAAAGUUUAUUUGGUCUUGUUCAGUCAACUUGUAUUGAGUAGGUUCUGUGCUAGGUGAGGAAAAUCACAGUGAAUAAGACCAGCUGGUAGGAGAUGGAACAGAGGAGUGGCAGAAACCAGGAGAAGAGAUGAAAGGGUUUUCCUCUGGGACUGUGACAAAAGGCUUUCCCCAAAAUGAUGGCCUCUACUCUAGAGUUUUAGAAGGUCUUAGGCAGGCAGGAAGGGUAGGAAAGUUUCUCCAGGCAGAGGGAACAGUAGGGGCAAAGCAACACUGAGGUGGAAGAAUGUGACGUUUCUAAGAGCUUAAGUGAGCUGGCCACAUGGAGGCUUUGUGUGAGUUGGGAGGCCUUUGAGAAGAACAAAGAAAAAAGUCACUUGAGAUGAGCCUGGAGAGUUCCGUGGGAGGAAUCUGAUCACAAGGGGCCUUGUAACACCUUAGAAAGCCCCACGGGAUUAUGGAAAAUUGUGUCAGACUUGGGGUUGGGGGUAGGUGUCUAGAUUAGAGGAACCGAAAGGAGUCAUUUUUAGGAUUUGGAUUUUGAACCAAAGAGCAAUGAAAGUCAUUGAAGCAGGCUAUGAUUAGAUUUGUGCUUUGAAGACAUUAUGCGUUUUGCAGGAUGAAGAAUGGCUGGGUCACAAUGGAUGCAAAAAGACCUGUUAGGAAUCUACCAUAAGGUCCUGACAGAAGAGAAAGGUAGCCCGGCCUAGGCGACUGAGUGGAAGUAGAGAGAAGUGGAAGCAUUUAAGGAGAGACAUUGGAUAUUGAUAUUGAAGGGGAGGGAGGUGUUAAGAUGAUUCACACAACAUAGCCCAGACUUCCUCCUGAUCGUCUGCCCAUGAACAAACACAACUUGCCAUUAUCUGCCUUCAAAUGGCAUCCAGGACUUGGAGGUAUGGAUCAGGUGUGGCUUCUGUGGACAUUUUACCCCCAGCAUCUGUAUCCUCUGAUUUCUUAGCAAAUGUCAGACCACCAAUGUGACAGAUGAUCGGAUCUUGGCCUAUAUCUUCUUCUCUCCACUGAACUCCUGUCACCUGCUCUACGGCAGAUACUGUAAAUUAACUCAUUCGGUACCCAUUGCAACACUCUCCUACUAACUCUCUGGUUCAUAGAGGCCAGAGAGCCACAAGCACCAUUUCCCAGAACGUUUUGCAGGUAUGGUCAUCCAUGUGACCAAGGUGCCUCCAGGCAAACACACCUUCUCCAGUCUUACAGGCAGAAGUGCACAAUAUAUGGCAACUGCUAAGUACAGCGAGAUCAGAUGUUCUGGCAAAUGAGGUUACCAAGCUUCCUGUUCUUCCAAGACCGUAGGUGGUAGAGUUUCUGGUGUCCAGUCUCUAUUGUCAUACAGCUUUUUUUCCUGGCAGCUUUGUUCCUAUUUGUAGCAUCCAAACCCAAUUCUCUAACCCUCCUGGGAAUUAUAUGAGUUACCUGACUUUCUGCCUAAAGUAUCUGAAGUGUAUUCUGUUGUCUGCAAAUAACAACCUGUGAUAUGCUCAUCAGUGAACUUCAUUUAUUAUUAGAUAUUUUAUUUGUUGUUCUACAGGUAGUGACACUUUUUUUCUAAACAUGGCAUGUGCUCCUUAAAGACAAGAAAGCGGUCACUUCCCCUCUAUCAAGUCAUCCACAGUGCAGAGCACAUAGUAGGUGUGAUGUGGAUGACUGCCAUUUUUGCUUGCUUGACAUCCAAC